UGGGGAAUAUUGCGCAAUGGGCGAAAGCCUGACGCAGCGACGCCGCGUGAGGGAUGAAGGUUUUCGGAUCGUAAACCUCUGUCAGAAGGGAAGAAACCGCACUGUGCUAAUCAGCAGUGCCUUGACGGUACCUUCAAAGGAAGCACCGGCUAACUCCGUGCCAGCAGCCGCGGUAAUACGGAGGGUGCAAGCGUUAAUCGGAAUUACUGGGCGUAAAGCGCACGUAGGCUGCUUUGUAAGUCAGGGGUGAAAUCCCACGGCUCAACCGUGGAACUGCCUUUGAUACUGCUUAGCUUGAAUCCGGGAGAGGGUGGCGGAAUUCCAGGUGUAGGAGUGAAAUCCGUAGAUAUCUGGAGGAACAUCAGUGGCGAAGGCGGCCACCUGGACCGGUAUUAACGCUGAGGUGCGAAAGCGUGGGGAGCAAACAGG
rnacentral:rRNA from 1 species